GUGGGGAAUCUUCCGCAAUGGACGAAAGUCUGACGGAGCAACGCCGCGUGAGUGAUGAAGGUCUUCGGAUUGUAAAGCUCUGUUAAUCGGGACGAAAGAGCCUAGUGUGAAUAACGCUAGGAAGUGACGGUACCGGAAUAGAAAGCCACGGCUAACUACGUGCCAGCAGCCGCGGUAAUACGUAGGUGGCAAGCGUUGUCCGGAAUUAUUGGGCGUAAAGCGCGCGCAGGCGGAUCUGCCAGUCUGGCUUAAAAGUUCGGGGCUUAACCCCGUGAUGGGAUGGAAACUACAGAUCUAGAGUAUCGGAGAGGAAAGUGGAAUUCCUAGUGUAGCGGUGAAAUGCGUAGAUAUUAGGAAGAACACCAGUGGCGAAGGCGACUUUCUGGACGAAAACUGACGCUGAGGCGCGAAAGCCAGGGGAGCGAACGGGAUUAGAAACCCCGGUAGUCC
rnacentral:rRNA from 1 species